CUGGAGCAGAGACAAAUGAGAAUGGCUAGAAGAGCUUUCCUGUGUGUCUCUCUGUCUUCAUCUAUCUCUGCCUCUGCUCCCAUGAUGCUAGGUGUUGGCUUUUCAGUGUCUCAAGAGCACUCUAUUGGUGCUUCUUGGUCAACUUCCUUAGGAAUUCCAUCAUCCCAGCGAUGCCAUCACCAAGAUGUCUUCUGCUGCCACAGCAAAGAAAUCUGCUUAAUUAAGUUCUGUUGUGACUGAAGAGGAUCCCGUCAUCGAUGUGAAUUUUCUAAAAUUUAGCAAGUCUUGUUUUACGGAUCAUGACUACAUUGUACAACAAUGAAUAUUGUUUUAUCUUGCCCUUCCCUCGUGUCUAAAGAUGUUGGAUGCUUACAAUGAUAUUUCUCAGUCAUUUACAUUUCAUUGUUUAGAACUUUUUGCUUCAUUCUGUUCCCUAAUAUUUAAUUGGGUUCUUCUCUCAGUGUUGGAUGUUUAUUGAGUCCUUUGUGUAUUUUAGAUAUUCACCCUCGAUCUGAUAUACAACUGAUAAAGAUUUUUUUUAUUGUGUAGUCUUCGUAUUGGUAGUGUGCUUUGCUGAAUGAAGUAUUUCAGUUUCCAGAUGUUAAUUUUUGUUCUUAAUGACUGUGCUGUUCAGAAAAUCCUUUCUAAAUUAAAGCAUAUUUCCUAGUUUCCUCUCUACCGGGUUAGGCUCUCGGGUUCUACGUUGAGAUCCUUUAUCCAUUUGGAGUUGAAUUUUGUCCAAGGUGACAGAUAAUGAUCAAGUUUCACUCUUCUACAUGGAGCCAUCCAGCUUGGCCUGCGCUAUCUGACGA
rnacentral:lncRNA from 1 species